AGCGAACGCUGGCGGCAGGCUUAACACAUGCAAGUCGAGCGGGCGUAGCAAUACGUCAGCGGCAGACGGGUGAGUAACGCGUGGGAACGUACCUUUUGGUUCGGAACAACACAGGGAAACUUGUGCUAAUACCGGAUAAGCCCUUACGGGGAAAGAUUUAUCGCCGAAAGAUCAGCCCGCGUCUGAUUAGCUAGUUGGUAGGGUAAUGGCCUACCAAGGCGACGACCAGUAGCUGGUCUGAGAGGAUGAUCAGCCACAUUGGGACUGAGACACGGCCCAAACUCCUACGGGAGGCAGCAGUGGGGAAUAUUGGACAAUGGGGGCAACCCUGAUCCAGCCAUGCCGCAUGAGUGAUGAAGGCCCUAGGGUUGUAAAGCUCUUUUGUGCGGGAAGAUAAUGACGGUACCGCAAGAAUAAGCCCCGGCUAACUUCGUGCAAGCAGCCGCCGUAA
rnacentral:rRNA from 1 species